rnacentral:rRNA from 1 species
GAUGAACGCUGGCGGCGUGCCUAAUACAUGCAAGUCGAGCGAAUGGAUUAAGAGCUUGCUCUUAUGAAGUUAGCGGCGGACGGGUGAGUAACACGUGGGUAACCUGCCCAUAAGACUGGGAUAACUCCGGGAAACCGGGGCUAAUACCGGAUAACAUUUUGAACCGCAUGGUUCGAAAUUGAAAGGCGGCUUCGGCUGUCACCUAUGGAUGGACCCGCGUCGCAUUAGCUAGUUGGUGAGGUAACGGCUCACCAAGGCAACGAUGCGUAGCCGACCUGAGAGGGUGAUCGGCCACACUGGGACUGAGACACGGCCCAGACUCCUACGGGAGGCAGCAGUAGGGAAUCUUCCGCAAUGGACGAAAGUCUGACGGAGCAACGCCGCGUGAGUGAUGAAGGCUUUCGGGUCGUAAAACUCUGUUGUUAGGGAAGAACAAGCGCUAGUUGAAUAAGCUGGCACCUUGACGGUACCUAACCAGAAAGCCACGGCUAACUACGUGCCAGCAGCCGCCGCGG